UUUUUUUAGUGGAAGAAAGGCAUUUGUUGCAGCUAGCGGGUGUUUUAUUUGGUAGCUGAUAUCGAAAGAAUCUAUCAUAAGACACACGCGGCUAUAAUCGAUGUCCUUAGAGUCUACAAGCUAAA
rnacentral:precursor_RNA from 15 species